rnacentral:rRNA from 1 species
CCUACGGGUGGCACCAGUGGGGAAUAUUGCACAAUGGGCGCAAGCCUGAUGCAGCCAUGCCGCGUGUAUGAAGAAGGCCUUCGGGUUGUAAAGUACUUUCAGCGAGGAGGAAGGCAUUAAGGUUAAUAACCUUGGUGAUUGACGUUACUCGCAGGAGAAGCACCGGCUAACUCCGUGCCAGCAGCCGCGGUAAUACGGAGGGUGCAAGCGUUAAUCGGAAUUACUGGGCGUAAAGCGCACGCAGGCGGUCUGUUAAGUCAGACGUGAAGUCCCCGGGCUCAACCUGGGAACUGCAUUUGAAACUGGCAGGCUUGAGUCUUGUAGAGGGGGGUAGAAUUCCAGGUGUAGCGGUGAAAUGCGUAGAGAUCUGGAGGAAUACCGGUGGUGAAGGCGGCCCCCUGGACAAAGACUGACGCUCAGGUGCGAAAGCGUGGGGAGCAAACAGGAUUAGAUACCCGCGUAGUC